GACAGAGGUGCCGAGCGUUAGGCGGAAUCACUGGGCUUAAAGCGUGUGUAGGCGGGCGGGCAAGUACCUUGUGAAAUCCCACGGCUCAACCGUGGAACGGCUGGGUAUACUGCCUGUCUUGAGCCAACUAGGGGCGAGCGGAACAGACGGUGGAGCGGUGAAAUGCUUAGAUAUGACAUAGAACACCAAUUGCGAAGGCAGCUCACUACACGGUCAUUGACACUGAGGCACGAAAGCGUGGGGAUCAAACAGG
rnacentral:rRNA from 1 species